UGGGGAAUUUUGGACAAUGGGCGAAAGCCUGAUCCAGCAAUGCCGCGUGUGUGAAGAAGGCCUUCGGGUUGUAAAGCACUUUUGUCCGGAAAGAAAUCCUUGGCUCUAAUACAGUCGGGGGAUGACGGUACCGGAAGAAUAAGCACCGGCUAACUACGUGCCAGCAGCCGCGGUAAUACGUAGGGUGCAAGCGUUAAUCGGAAUUACUGGGCGUAAAGCGUGCGCAGGCGGUUUGCUAAGACCGAUGUGAAAUCCCCGGGCUCAACCUGGGAACUGCAUUGGUGACUGGCAGGCUAGAGUAUGGCAGAGGGGGGUAGAAUUCCACGUGUAGCAGUGAAAUGCGUAGAGAUGUGGAGGAAUACCGAUGGCGAAGGCAGCCCCCUGGGCCAAUACUGACGCUCAUGCACGAAAGCGUGGGGGAGCAAAACAGGAUUAGAUACCCUGGUAGUCCACGCCCUAAACGU
rnacentral:rRNA from 1 species